rnacentral:rRNA from 1 species
CCUACGGGAGGCUGCAGUGGGGAAUAUUGGACAAUGGGGGGAACCCUGAUCCAGCCAUGUCGCGUGUGUGAAGAAGGCCCUCGGGUUGUAAAGCACUUUCAGUGAGGAAGAACGCCUGGUGGUUAAUACCCAUCAGGAAAGACAUCACUCACAGAAGAAGCACCGGCUAACUCCGUGCCAGCAGCCGCGGUAAUACGGAGGGUGCGAGCGUUAAUCGGAAUUACUGGGCGUAAAGCGCGCGUAGGUGGCUUGAUAAGCCGGUUGUGAAAGCCCCGGGCUCAACCUGGGAACGGCAUCCGGAACUGUCAAGCUAGAGUGCAGGAGAGGAAGGUAGAAUUCCCGGUGUAGCGGUGAAAUGCGUAGAGAUCGGGAGGAAUACCAGUGGCGAAGGCGGCCUUCUGGACUGACACUGACACUGAGGUGCGAAAGCGUGGGUAGCAAACAGGAUUAGAUACCCCAGUAGUC